rnacentral:lncRNA from 1 species
UGGGUCAAGGUCUCAGAAAGUAGAAUUUUAGAUCCAAUGGGGAUUUUUGAGAUUUCUUGCAAUCUAUUUGUUGGAUUGAAGUGAAAGUUACGUGAGAGGAUAUUAGACUUGUUUUUCUAUGCAUAUGAGAAGUUUGAGAUCAAUCGAACGAUGUAAAAGAGAGAUAUUGGCUUUGGAAGAAUGGCAUCAAGAUUGGAAAAGGAGGCCGGCCAAUAUCCGAGUACAUUUUUGAAGAUAUCGUCAAUUUGGUAAAUCCAAUCCUUAUCAAUUUUUAUUGCUUGUUUUAAACUUAUUUUUUUAGAAGUAUGCAAAAUUUGAGUUAAGAUCAACGGUUUAUUCAUUAGUUAUUGAGGUUUAAAUCUGUUGUAGGAAUUAUUAGGAUUUGGUUUAGGGUUUGAUUGGAUUUGGUUUGGGAUUUAGGAUUUGGAUUAGGGUUUGAUUUAGGAUUUAGGUUUUGGAUUAGAGUUUGGUUUAGGGUUUAGGAUUUGGUUUAGGAUUUGAUUAGGAUUUGAUUUAGGAUUUAGGAUUUGGUUUAGAAUUUGGUUAGGAUUUGGUUUAGGAUUUGGUUGGGGUUUGAUUUAGGAUUUAGGAUUUUAUUAGGAUUUAGGAUUAAAUUAGUUUUGGCCUAAAGUUUGAAUGAAGUUUAAUGAGAUUUUAACUAGAAUUAAAUUAAAAUUAAAUUGAGAUGUAUUUAAAUGACAUUUGUGUUCUUUCUAAUGUUUCUUUAAAAAUUCUUAU